rnacentral:rRNA from 1 species
CAACUGUGUGAAUUAAUGUAAACUGCAUACUGCUUUGAACAUCGACAUCUUGAACGCAUAUUGCGGCCAUGGGUUAGCCCGUGGCCACGCCUGUCCGAGGGUCGGCCUAUGAACUAUCACGAUGCCCAAAAAGUCGUGGCUUGGGUUUUGCCAGCUGGCAUGGUUUCCUCCAUGAGCCUCGUGUGAGGUGCCAGAUCUAUGGCGUUUCCCCAAUGAAUCCGGACGCAUCCUCGUCUUGGUUACAAGCCGGCGCAGGUUGUCGUGACGGAAUCGUGGUUUAAUAUAGCUGUUCUCCGUUCUUUGCAUGUCCGUGGGCAUGCGUUCGAUUACGGAUUGAGCUGUGAUUGGGUUGGUACUCUGAGGUCGGUACGCUUGGCGUCAUCUUAGUUGGUGUACAUAUGACUUCCGGGGUAAUCCCAUACCGAGCACGUUCCGUCAUUACAGCCUCGUUACCGGCUGAAUGCCAACGUGGGCAAUGUAUCCGAUAGUGUGUUGUCAUUAUGGCGCAUUGAUUUCGUAACGGAUCCGGGCUGAUUUUUAAUGUGUUACGGUCACUGCGUUUUCCUGACCUCGGAUCAGACGUGAUUACCCGCUGAACUUAAGCAUAUCACUAAGCGGAGGAAAAGAAACUAACCAGGAUUCCCCCAGUAACGGCGAGUGAAGAGGGAAAAGCCCAGCACCGAAGCCUGUGGCUGUUUGGCCAUUAGGCAAUGUGGUGUUUAGGUCGGCUCGCGGAGGUACUGCUCCACCCUAAGUCCUAUAAUGAGUAAGGUUACUCGGACGUGGCCCAAAGAGGGUGAAAGGCCCGUGGGGGUG